GACGAACGCUGGCGGCGUGCUUAACACAUGCCAGUCGAACGGAAAGGCCCUGCUUUUGUGGGGUGCUCGAGUGGCGAACGGGUGAGUAACACGUGAGUAACCUGCCCUUGACUUUGGGAUAACUUCAGGAAACUGGGGCUAAUACCGGAUAGGAGCUCCUGCUGCAUGGUGGGGGGUGGAAAGUUUCGGCGGUUGGGGAUGGACUCGCGGCUUAUCAGCUUGUUGGUGGGGUAGUGGCUUACCAAGGCUUUGACGGGUAGCCGGCCUGGGAGGGUGACCGGCCACAUUGGGACUGAGAUACGGCCCAGACGCCUACGGGAGGCAGCAGUGGGGAAUAUUGCACAAUGGGCGGAAGCCUGAUGCAGCAACGCCGCGUGCGGGAUGACGGCCUUCGGGUUGUAAACCGCUUUCGCCUGUGACGAAGCGUGAGUGACGGUAAUGGGUAAAGAAGCACCGGCUAACUACGUG
rnacentral:rRNA from 1 species